rnacentral:misc_RNA from 1 species
CUUGCGUUCUUCAGAAGAGGGAAAGAAAAGGGACAAGAAGAAGAAGAAGAAGAAAAGCGUGAAAUUUGCAGAGAAUGUGAAGGAUACAAAAGGGAACGGAGAAGUACAGAAGGGAGAAAGAGAAGUCUUUGUUUGCUAAUCAAGAGAAAGAGAAAUCAAUUACAAGAAUCUGCAGAAAUGAAAUCCCAGGAACUCAUGGAAUGCCAGCGAAUAGGAUUGCUCUCUACAAUGGAAUUCUAAGGGACCGUGUGCACCGGAUUGAUUGAAUGUUCAUAUUAAUCUCUGUACAAUUCUGUGUCCAAACUCCCAAUUCUGAUUUUUUUUUUUUAAAUGGAAAAUUUAUUGGGCGUAAAUAAUAC